GAUGAACGCUGGCGGCGUGCCUAAUACAUGCAAGUCGAGCGAACGGACGAGAAGCUUGCUUCUCUGAUGUUAGCGGCGGACGGGUGAGUAACACGUGGAUAACCUACCUAUAAGACUGGGAUAACUUCGGGAAACCGGAGCUAAUACCGGAUGAUAUUUUGAACCGCAUGGUUCAAAAGUGAAAGACGGUCUUGCUGUCACUUAUAGAUGGAUCCGCGCUGCAUUAGCUAGUUGGUAAGGUAACGGCUUACCAAGGCAACGAUGCAUAGCCGACCUGAGAGGGUGAUCGGCCACACUGGAACUGAGACACGGUCCAGACUCCUACGGGAGGCAGCAGUAGGGAAUCUUCCGCAAGGGGCGAAAGCCUGACGGAGCAACGCCGCGUGAGUGAUGAAGGUCUUCGGAUCGUAAAACUCUGUUAUUAGGGAAGAACAUAAGUGUAAGUAACUGUGCACAUCUUGACGGUACCUAAUCAGAAAGCCACGGCUAACUACGUG
rnacentral:rRNA from 1 species